CAAGGCGACGAUCAGUAGCCGGACUGAGAGGUUGGCCGGCCACAUUGGGACUGAGACACGGCCCAGACUCCUACGGGAGGCAGCAGUGGGGAAUAUUGGGCAAUGGGCGCAAGCCUGACCCAGCAACGCCGCGUGAAGGAAGAAGGCUUUCGGGUUGUAAACUUCUUUUCUCAGGGACGAAGCAAGUGACGGUACCUGAGGAAUAAGCCACGGCUAACUACGUGCCAGCAGCCGCGGUAAUACGUAGGUGGCAAGCGUUAUCCGGAUUUACUGGGUGUAAAGGGCGUGUAGGCGGGACUGCAAGUCAGAUGUGAAAACCACGGGCUCAACCUGUAGCCUGCAUUUGAAACUGUAGUUCUUGAGUACUGGAGAGGCAGACGGAAUUCCUAGUGUAGCGGUGAAAUGCGUAGAUAUUAGGAGGAACACCAGUGGCGAAGGCGGUCUGCUGGACAGCAACUGACGCUGAGGCGCGAAAGCGUAGGGAGCAAACAGGAUUAGAUACCCUGGUAGUCCACGCUGUAAACGAUGGAUACUAGGUGUGGGGGGACUGACCCCCUCC
rnacentral:rRNA from 1 species